AUUGAACGCUGGCGGCAGGCCUAACACAUGCAAGUCGAGCGGAUGAGUGGAGCUUGCUCCAUGAUUCAGCGGCGGACGGGUGAGUAAUGCCCAGGAAUCUGCCUGGUAGUGGGGGACAACGUUUCGAAAGGAACGCUAAUACCGCAUACGUCCUACGAGAGAAAGUGGGGGAUCUUCGGACCUCACGCUAUCAGAUGAGCCUAGGUCGGAUUAGCUAGUUGGUGAGGUAAAGGCUCACCAAGGCGACGAUCCGUAACUGGUUUGAGAGGAUGAUCAGUCACACUGGAACUGAGACACGGUCCAGACUCCUACGGGAGGCAGCAGUGGGGAAUAUUGGACAAUGGGCGAAAGCCUGAUCCAGCCAUGCCGCGUGUGUGAAGAAGGUCUUCGGAUUGUAAAGCACUUUAAGUUGGGAGGAAGGGCAGUAAGUUAAUACCUUGCUGUUUUGACGUUACCAACAGAAUAAGCACCGGCUAACUUCGUGCCAGCCGCCGCCGUAAUAC
rnacentral:rRNA from 1 species